rnacentral:tmRNA from 2 species
GGGGGCGAAGGGAUUCGACCGUGCAGGUAGGUAAAUGAGUGGCAUGCUGAGGUUGUCAGGAGGCCUCGUAAAACACCUGGCGCAAUGAUAAAUGCCGAAUACAAUCUGGCAAUGGCUGCCUAAUUAGCAGCCCGUCUCUCCGGCCCUGCCUGCGGGGUUGGAAGGACGACAGCUAGCAGGCUGGCCCGACCCUUUUAGCUUGAGGAGGGACGGGCGAGAAUAAUGUCAGGCUAGUUGCUUCGGGACCCUGUCUAUUGGGGCCUGAAAGCGACGAAGGUUAAAAAGAUAGACUAAGCAUGUAGAAGCCUUUACCAAGAUGCAUUGGGACGCGGGUUCAAUUCCCGCCGCCUCCACCA